rnacentral:rRNA from 1 species
GAAAGCUUAUGGCUUAACUGUAAGAAUUUGCUGAAGAUACUGUCAGAACUUGAAGUCGGGAGAGGUUAGAGGUACUACCGGGGUAGGGGUGAAAUCCUAUAAUCCUGGGAGGACCACCUGUGGCGAAGGCGUCUAACUGGAACGAUCUUGACGGUGAGUAACGAAAGCCAGGGGCGCGAACCGGAUUAGAUACCCGGGUAGUCCUGGCCGUAAACGAUGUGGACUUGGUGUUGGAAUGGCUUCGAGUUGUUC